rnacentral:rRNA from 1 species
GCGGAGGAAAAGAAACUAACAAGGAUUCCCCUAGUAACGGCGAGUGAAGCGGGAAGAGCUCAAAUUUGUAAUCUGGCAGCCUCUGGCUGUCCGAGUUGUAGUCUAGAGAAGCAUUUUCCGUGCCAGACCAUGCACAAGUCCCUUGGAACAGGGCGUAAUAGAGGGUGAGAAUCCCGUCUUUGACAUGGACUACUGGUGCUUUGUGAUGUGCUCUCGAAGAGUCGAGUUGUUUGGGAAUGCAGCUCAAAAUGGGUGGUAAAUUCCAUCUAAAGCUAAAUAUGGGCAAAAGACCGAUAGUGAACAAGUACCGUGAGGGAAAGAUGAAAAGCACUUUGGAAAGAGAGUUAACAGUAUGUGAAAUUGUUGAAAGGGAAACAUUUCAAGUCAGUCACGUCUUCUGAGACUCAGCUCAGGUAAUAACUUAGUGCACUUCUCAGUGUGACGGGCCAGCAUCAAUUUCAAUUGUCAGAGAAAGGCUUGGGGAAGGUGGCACCUUCGGGUGUGUUAUAGCCCCUUGCUGUAUGUGAUAGUUGGGAUUGAGGACCGCAGCAUGCCUUCACAGGCCGGGGUUCGCCCACGUAACAUGCUUAGGAUGCUGGCGUAAUGGCUUCAA